UCCUCUGUGGCGCAAUUGGCUAGCGCGUCGUAGGUUCAACACACUAUGCCUUCAUUAAGUAUUAUCGAUUUACUAAUUAUAUGUUGUAGUGACUGUUAAUCAGGAGGUUGGAAGUUCGAGCCUUCCCGGAGGAG